rnacentral:lncRNA from 1 species
UCCACGAUAGCACUGAAAAGCAAAACGAACAAACUCCUAAAGUUCCCCAUCCAAUCAAUCGAUCAAAACCACAUUUAAAAGUCGGGUGUAAUUCACUCUGGUUGGGACAAUUUCAUUAGGACAUCAUCUCAACAAAUACUAUGAGGAUUCAUCAUAAUAUGACUAUUUUAAAGUUGGACAUGAACCUCCUAAGCACAGUUGGAGUUCCCAAAAAGCCGAUUAAAUCAUGAAAAUGUGAAACUAGAAAUUACAUCACAAAAAGGCAAAAAAGAGUAGACAAACCUGAACAAGAUGAUCCUUAUCCAGUGAAGAUAAACUCACUAAAACUGGAGACCACCUCACAAAUUCAGAUAUGAGUCCAUAUGCAGUGAGAUCAUCACUUGACCUCCCCCUCCCAACAUAUGUGUAGUCUAGCUGAAGACCUUCUAUUUCUUGUUGUUGAAUAGGUCAGUGAAUGACAUCUGAUUUUCCUUGGCCAAACAUUCUUUCCUUGUAGAGAUUUGUAUUCCACCCCCAACUUAAUCCAAUUGAUUCUAAAAAGCACUAAACUAUAUUACCGUCCAAAUAGCAAGUGGUAAGUGUUUUUCCAACAAAAUUGUUAGCCUGCAAUUUUUAAAUAGAAAAAGCAGAUAAAAUAGGCAUUAAAUAAAUUCAGUAUACCUGAAUAGUAUUGCCACGUGGAUGUUUCCGAGCUCUUCACGUACACUUCUAAUUUGAAGAAGAAAUAAAGAUAAACUCAACAAGUGAAAUUAUUGAUCUCGAAAAAUGCUUCAAAAGAGAACAUAUUUGGAGUCAAGGAACUACAUAUGUGAAUUUGUAUAAAGAUUUACAAGAGUUAUAGGCCAUUUGAAUGAACAGAUGAAUAUAAAUGGUGCAUCCCUGAAUCCCUCAAAGAGCUACUGUUAUAUUGGAACAGAUGAGGCCUACAUAAAGCUGCAAAGCCCCUUUGGUACUCCAUACCAUAAUCAAAGUAGUGACCAAAACAUCCAUCAGACAACUUUUUUCACUAAACAAAAGACAUUAUAGAAUCUUGGGUAAAAAAUCACAAAGACGUCGUAAAAUUCUUGAUACGAAACCACUAAAGCAAAAGAAUAUAAAUUACAUUUGGAUCCAAAGACUGAAUUUGAUCCAAUGCAUCAUAAUGGAGUAUCAUUUUGUUUUUGAUUUUUUUUUUCAAGAAUGACUUCUUCUUCUUCACAUUCCCUUUUUUCCUGUGAAUGUGUUUGGGAUAAAGACAAAGAAACUUCCUUUUCAGAGGAUGAAAUAUCAUACGUUAAAGUUAAACAACACUGUACUAAAAGCUUACAUUAUUCAAG